rnacentral:rRNA from 1 species
AACGAACGCUGGCGGCAGGCCUAACACAUGCAAGUCGAACGCUGUAGCAAUACAGAGUGGCAGACGGGUGAGUAACGCGUGGGAACGUGCCCUUUGGUUCGGAAUAACCCAGGGAAACUUGGGCUAAUACCGGAUACGUCCGUAAGGAGAAAGAUUUAUCGCCAAAGGAUCGGCCCGCGUCGGAUUAGCUAGUUGGUGAGGUAAAGGCUCACCAAGGCGACGAUCCGUAGCUGGUCUGAGAGGAUGACCA